rnacentral:rRNA from 1 species
UACCCUCGGGGGUAGAGCACUGGAUGGGCUAGGGGGCCCCAACGGCUUACCAAACCUAACCAAACUCCGAAUACCGGCGAGUACAGCACGGCAGACAGACUAUGGGUGCUAAGGUCCAUAGUCGAAAGGGAAACAGCCCUGACCACCAGCUAAGGUCCCUAAAUCAUAUCUAAGUGGGAAAGGAUGUGAGGACCCCAAAACAACCAGGAGGUUGGCUUAGAAGCAGCCACCCUUUAAAGAGUGCGUAAUAGCUCACUGGUCAAGUGAUUCCGCGCCGACAAUGUAGCGGGGCUCAAGUCAUCCGCCGAAGCUAUGGCAUUCAGC